GAUGAACGCUGGCGGCGUGCCUAAUACAUGCAAGUCGAGCGAAUGGAUUAAGAGCUUGCUCUUAUGAAGUUAGCGGCGGACGGGUGAGUAACACGUGGGUAACCUGCCCAUAAGACUGGGAUAACUCCGGGAAACCGGGGCUAAUACCAGAUAACAUUUUGAACCGCAUGGUUCGAAAUUGAAAUGCGGCUUCGGCUGUCACUUAUGGAUGGACCCGCGUCGCAUUCGCUAGUUGGUGAGGUAACGGCGCACCAAGGCAACGAUGCUUAGCCGCCCUGGGGGGGUGAUCGGCCACACUGGGACUGAGACACGGCCCAGACUCCUACGGGAGGCAGCAGUAGGGAAUCUUCCGCAAUGGACGAAAGUCUGACGGAGCAACGCCGCGUGAGUGAUGAAGGCUUUCGGGUCGUAAAACUCUGUUGUUAGGGAAGAACAAGUGCUAGUUGAAUAAGCUGGCACCUUGACGGUACCUAACCAGAAAGCCACGGCUAACUACGUGCCAGCCGCCGCCGUAA
rnacentral:rRNA from 1 species